UCAUCAACCCUUUGUGAACAUACCUUAA
rnacentral:rRNA from 1 species